rnacentral:rRNA from 1 species
GAUGAACGCUGGCGGCGUGCCUAAUACAUGCAAGUCGAGCGAACGGACGAGAAGCUUGCUUCUCUGAUGUUAGCGGCGGACGGGUGAGUAACACGUGGAUAACCUACCUAUAAGACUGGGAUAACUUCGGGAAACCGGAGCUAAUACCGGAUAAUAUCUUGAACCGCAUGGUUCAAAAGUGAAAGACGGUCUUGCUGUCACUUAUAGAUGGAUCCGCGCUGCAUUAGAUAGUUGGUAAGGUAACGGCUUACCAAGGCAACGAUGCAUAGCCGACCUGAGAGGGUGAUCGGCCACACUGGAACUGAGACACGGUCCAGACUCCUACGGGAGGCAGCAGUAGGGAAUCUUCCGCAAUGGGCGAAAGCCUGACGGAGCAACGCCGCGUGAGUGAUGAAGGUCUUCGGAUCGUAAAACUCUGUUAUUAGGGAAGAACAUAUGUGUAAGUAACUGUGCACAUCUUGACGGUACCUAAUCAGAAAGCCACGGCUAACUACGUG